CCAGACUCCUACGGGAGGCAGCAGUGGGGAAUAUUGCACAAUGGAGGGAACUCUGAUGCAGCGACGCCGCGUGAGUGAAGAAGUAAUUCGUUAUGUAAAGCUCUAUCAGCAGGGAAGAAAGUGACGGUACCUGAAAAAGAAGCUCCGGCUAAAUACGUGCCAGCAGCCGCGGUAAUACGUAUGGAGCAAGCGUUAUCCGGAUUUACUGGGUGUAAAGGGAGCGUAGGUGGCAGGGCAAGUCAGAUGUGAAAACCCGGGGCUCAACCCCGGGAGUGCAUUUGAAACUGUCCAGCUGGAGUGCAGGAGAGGUAAGCGGAAUUCCUAGUGUAGCGGUGAAAUGCAUAGAUAUUAGGAGGAACACCAGUGGCGAAGGCGGCCUACUGGACUGUAACUGACACUGAGGCUCGAAAGCGUGGGGAGCAAACAGGAUUAGAUACCCUUGUAU
rnacentral:rRNA from 1 species